CGCGUGCACUGGCUCGGCUGGGUCUUUCCUUCUGGAGAACCGCAUGCCCUUCACUGGGCGUGCCGGGGAACCAGGACUUUUACUCUGAACAAAUUAGAUCGCUUAAAGAAGGCCUAUGCUCGAAUACAUUAGCAUGGAAUAAUAGAAUAGGACGUGUGGUUCUAUUUUGUUGGUUUCUAGGACCGCCGUAAUGAUUAAUAGGGACAGUCGGGGGCAUCAGUAUUCAAUUGUCAGAGGUGAAAUUCUUGGAUUUAUUGAAGACUAGCUACUGCGAAAGCAUUUGCCAAGGAUGUUUUCAUUAAUCAGGAACGAAAGUUAGGGGGAUCGAAGACGAUCAGAUACCCGUCGUAGUCUUAACCAUAAACUAUGCCGGAUUAGGGAUCGGACCGGCGUUAUUUUUUGAACCCGUUCGGCACCUUACGAUAAAUCAAAAUGUUUGGGCUCCUGGGGGGAGUAUGGUCGCAAGGCUGAAACUUAAAGAAAUUGACGGAAGGGCACCACCAGGGGUGGAGCCUGCGGCUUAAUUUGACUCAACACGGGGAAACUCACCAGGUCCAGACACGAUGAGGAUUGACAGAUUGAGAGCUCUUUCUUGAUUUCGUGGGUGGUGGUGCAUGGCCGUUCUUAGUUGGUGGAGUGAUUUGUCUGCUUAAUUGCGAUAACGAACGAGACCUUAACCUGCUAAAUAGCCCGUAUUGCUUUGGCAGUACGCCGGCUUCUUAGAGGGACUAUCGG
rnacentral:rRNA from 1 species